GAUGAACGCUAGCGGCAGGCCUAACACAUGCAAGUCGAGGGGCAGCACGUCUUCGGAUGGUGGCGACCGGCGCACGGGUGCGUAACGCGUAUGCAACCUACCUCUUACAGUGGGAUAGCCCAGAGAAAUUUGGAUUAAUACCGCAUAGUAUACAGAUUCAGCAUUGGGACUGUAUUAAACAUUUAUGGGUAAGAGAUGGGCAUGCGUUCUAUUAGUUAGUUGGAGUGGUAACGGCACCCCAAGACAGCGAUAGAUAGGGGCCCUGAGAGGGGGAUCCCCCACACUGGUACUGAGACACGGACCAGACUCCUACGGGAGGCAGCAGUGGGGAAUAUUGCACAAUGGACGAAAGUCUGAUGCAGCGAUUCUGCGUGGAGGAUGAAGCAUUACGGUGCGUAAACUCCUUUUUUGGUAGAAGACGAAUGACGGUAUACCAAGAAUAAGGGACGGCUAACUAUGUGCCAGCAGCCGCGGUAAAGUCGUACGAUC
rnacentral:rRNA from 1 species